GGUAGUUCUUAGGUAACAUACCCUGGAAUCGGGCUCCCUUUUCUCUGGUUCCAGGGUGCAUCACUCAAGAACCGCC
rfam:Myotis lucifugus cont2.14910, whole genome shotgun sequence.